CCGCCGCGUGGAGGAAUGAAGUACUUCGGUCGGUAACGUAAACUCCUUUUCGAGUAGGGGAAGAAUGAGUCGACGGUAACCCAUAGAAGAAGCCCCGGCUAACUUCGUGC
rnacentral:rRNA from 1 species